GCUCGGCAGGGCGGCGGCGACGGCGGUGGCUGCGGAGCUGCAGUUAGCGCUGCGCGCGUGAGGUGGCGGGGCGGCAGCCGCGCAUCCCGGCCCUGUGGCGUGUUGGGCGUGGGGGAGCGUCCUUACACGUUCCAGGGUGGCUUUUCCCCCACGUCCUCGCUCGGUUUCUGGAAAGGGGGAGGAAACGCUGCAGCUUCUACAGUACUUUUGCUUAAGACAAAGCCAGGGAUCAGGAAUCUCAAAAGAGCGGGGGGCAGAAGGUUUGAGCCGACCCCACCCCGGCUCUCCAUCGGAGCCCCGAGCGGCGCCGUUUCCUGAUGCUGGCUCAGCGAACUGCACACUGCAGCGCGAAAGCAGGAAACUGGCAUUACGUCAGAAGACAGAAGAGACCCAAAUUGCAACGGUUGCAUCUGCAGGGCUGGCUGGCUGGCUUCCUCUCCUAAACCUAAACCUUUCCCUCUC
rnacentral:lncRNA from 1 species